GAUGAAGAACGUAGCGAAAUGCGAUAAGUAGUGUGAAUUGCAGAAUUCAGUGAAUCAUCGAAUCUUUGAACGCACAUUGCGCCCCUUGGUAUUCCAUGGGGCAUGCCUGUUCGAGCGUCAUUUGUACCUUCAAGCUCUGCUUGGUGUUGGGUGUUUGUCUCGCCUUUGCGUGUAGACUCGCCUUAAAACCAUUGGCAGCCGGCGUAUUGAUUUCGGAGCGCAGUACAUCUCGCGCUUUGCACUCAGAACGACGACGUCCAAAAGUACAUUUUUACACUCUUGACCUCGGAUCAGGUAGGGAUACCCGCUGAACUUAAGCAUAUCAAUAAGCGGGAGA
rnacentral:misc_RNA from 1 species